rnacentral:lncRNA from 1 species
UCAACUUAAUUUUCUUUCUCUGGUCAUCUCCAUUCCAGUCGUUCUUCUUCUUCCAGUAGCUUGGGUUAUUUUCUGGUGAGUUCUUAUUCUUUUCGUUUAUUUUCAUUCUACUAGGGGUUCUUUUUGCAAUUUUCUGCUUUUUUUAUACAGUUGAACUUUAUGAUUGUCAUUUGAACACCAAAGGGUGUGGUUAUAAGAAUAGUAUAAGCUGAGUUAGUGAACUUUUAUAGUUUUUCAGUCUUAUGGCUUUCAGUUUGAGAUAUAAACUUUCUAAUUAUAAGAAAAAGGGAAAUACAGAAAUACUAAGAAAAAAAUUUCUGUUUUUUUAAUUAACCAUGCAACCCAUCAUACAUUCUCUUUGUUCGGUAGCAUUUUCUUGACAAAAGACAUUUGGGGCUUGGCUGAAGUUCUUCGCCAGUCCCUUUGCUACUAAAGUUUACUUUUUUAUUUUGAAUUCUUGAGUACAAUCCUUUGGUCUUGACGUGUUUGAUAAAACUCUUCAAUGAAUUUUAGCUUUCUAUUUGAUUUUAUAUCAUCCUCCGGAUGUAAGAGAGGCAAGAACAACGCAUGCGUAGACAUAUUCUCAACUCUAGAGACGCAAAUGUUUGACACUGUUAGUGGUUCGAGGUUUAUAAUGGGCGUGACAUAAAACAAGAUAACUCUAGAUUAUUAUUUCUUGGUUGUGACUUGUGAGUUAGGUUGGGCACAAUUUGAUUUUUCAUAGCAAGACUUACGAAUUCAAGUUGUUCUUUCCUCAAAGAUUUAUUCUGCAGUUUGUGAAUUAUUUACUUGGAAUAUAUGGCUGCGCAAUUUUGAGUGACUAAUUUUUGAAGUACAGGUACUCUAGGGGGAAAAGAGCGAUACCUAUGACUGUAAGAGGUAAUUUCUACAUUUUCUUUUCACAUUGUUCGACUAUCAAUAGUUUUUUAUGCUGUGUGUUUCUCCGUAUUAGUGGAGGUGGAUAUAGGACAUGAAUCAGUACUAGACAACGGCAAGGAAGAUGAGUCUAAGGAGCUAGGAGGAAGGGAAGAUAAACUAGGAGAUUCAACAGAAGAAGAGGGGGACACGAAAUUAGUGGCAAAACUAGUAGACUCGGGUGCAGUAGGCGUAGGACUAGGUAACGCAGUAGGCAUAGGGAGGAUAACACGGGGCACAGAAGGAUGAGGAGGUAGAAAAGCAGAUAAAUUUGCAUAUGGAAAACAAUGCUCAAUAAAGCGAACAGAGAGACUAAUAUAGACACGGUUAGUAUCAAGACAUAGACAUCGAUAUCCCUUGUGACGAGAACUGUACCCUAAAAACACGCAAGGAGAAGAAGGAGAGUCAAGUUUGUGAGAACGAUAAGGAGGCAAAUUAGGAUAACAAAGACACCCAAAAGGUUUUAAAUGGUAUAGUCACGUGGAACCCCAAAUAGGUUCUCAUAGCGAGAGAGCUUAGCUAGGGAAGAGGAAGGAAGAUGAUUAAUAAGAUGAACAACAGUAAGAAAAGCUUCAACCCAUAAAGAAAGAGGGGCAUGAGCAUGAAAAAGUAUAGUGCGAGCAACAUUUGUGAUAUGACGGUGCUUAUGCGCAGCUACACCAUUUUGCUCAGGAGUGUGAGGACAAGAUAAUUGAUGAUGAAUAACAUGCAAGCAGAGAAAAGAGAUAAAGGAAGAACUUUGAUACUCGCCCCCACCAUUUGAACGAAAUGUCUUAAUAGACCCACCAAAUUGAUUUUCAACAAGAAGUUUAAAAUAGGUAAAACAAGAUAUGAUAUCACUUUUAUGACGAAGAGGAUAAAUCCAUGUGUAACGAGUGAAAUCAUCAAUAAAAAGAACAUAAUAAUGAUAACCAUUAACUGAGGGCACAGGGGACUGCCAAAAAUCAAAAUGAAUUAACUCUAAAACAUAAAAAGUAGUUGAAG